rnacentral:misc_RNA from 1 species
GUAAGGAGUGAGCCUGCUCGCGAUGGCGGAGUGUCAUUCAGCACUGAAGGCACUGAUACACCGCCAUCGCGAGCAGGCUCACUCCUACA